rnacentral:lncRNA from 1 species
CUCAAAUCAAUUAAAACUAGGCCAAAAAAGACCCUAUCAUAUUGAAAAAAAUACAAUUAAAAAAAUAUAUAAAGAUUUGACCUCUCUAGGAGUUGAACCAUAGAUCCAAAGCACAAUACUACCAUACUUAACCAUUAGGCCACACCUUCCAAACCGUUAAUGUUACAAUGUUAUGUGUAUAUAUCAAUAUUUUCAAUACAUCAUAUUAUAAAAA